UUUUCCGGUUGAUCCUGCCGGACCCUACUGCUAUCGGGGUGGGACUAAGACAUGCGAGUUGAGCGUUUCUAGCUAUGUUGAAACGCACCAUACGGCUCACCAACACGUGGCUAACCUACCUUCAUGACAGGGACAAACCCGGGAAACUGGGGCUAAUACCACAUAGGCGAGGAUGCCUGGAAUGGGUUCUCACCCAGAGGACAUUGGGAACAUGCUCCCCCAUCGCCUGGGGAUGGGACCACGGCCGAUCAUGUUGUUGGUGAGGUAACGGCUCACCAAGCCUAUAACCUGUACGGGCCGUGAGAACAGUAGCCCGGAGAUGGGCACUGAUACAAGGGCCCACGCCCUACGGGGCGCAGCAGUCGCGAAAACUCCUCAAUGCACGAAAGUGUGACGGGGCUACCCCCACUGCCGUCCGCUGAGGAUGGCUUUUCCUCCGUGUAGCUAGCCGGGGGAAUAAGGAGAGGGCAAGACUGGUGUCAGCCGCCGCGGUAAUACCAGCUCUCUGAGUGGUAGGGAUGAUUAUUGGGCUUAAAGCGUCCGUAGCUGGCUUAGCAAGUCUCUUGUUAAAUUCAGCGACCUAAUCGUUGAGCCGCGGGAGAUACUACUAGGCUAGGAGGCGGGAGAGGUCGACGGUACUUUCGGGGUAGGGGUGAAAUCCUAUAAUCCCGGGAGGACCACCAGUGGCGAAGGCUGUCGACUAGAACGCGCUCGACAGUGAGGGACGAAAGCUGGGGGAGCGAACCGGAUUAGAUACCCGGGUAGUCCCAGCUGUAAACGAUGGGGGCUAGGUGUUGGGGUGGCUACGGGCCACUUCAGUGCCGCAGGGAAGCCAUUAAGCCCGCCGCCUGGGGAGUACGGCCGCAAGGCUGAAACUUAAAGGAAUUGGCGGGGGAGCACCACAAGGCGUGAAGCUUGCGGUUCAAUUGGAGUCAACGCCGGAAAUCACUAGU
rnacentral:rRNA from 1 species